AGAUUAAGUUAUUAAGGGCGCACGGUGGAUGCCUUGGCACUAGAAGCCGAUGAAGGACGUUACUAACGACGAUAUGCUUUGGGUAGCUGUAAGUAAGCGUUGAUCCAGAGAUUUCCGAAUGGGGGAACCCAACAUGAGUUAUGUCAUGUUAUCGACAUGUGAAUUCAUAGCAUGUCAGAAGGCAGACCCGGAGAACUGAAACAUCUUAGUACCCGGAGGAAGAGAAAGAAAAAUCGAUUCCCUGAGUAGCGGCGAGCGAAACGGGAAAAGCCCAAACCAACAAGCUUGCUUGUUGGGGUUGUAGGACACUCUAUACGGAGUUACAAAAGAACAUGUUAGACGAAUCAUCUGGAAAGAUGAAUCAAAGAAGGUAAUAAUCCUGUAGUCGAAAACAUAUUCUCUCUUGAGUGGAUCCUGAGUACGACGGAGCACGUGAAAUUCCGUCGGAAUCUGGGAGGACCAUCUCCUAAGGCUAAAUACUCUCUAGUGACCGAUAGUGAACCAGUACCGUGAGGGAAAGGUGAAAAGUACCCCGGAAGGGGAGUGAAAGAGAACUUGAAACCGUGUGCUUACAAGUAGUCAGAGCCCGUUAAUGGGUGAUGGCGUGCCUUUUGUAGAAUGAACCGGCGAGUUACGAUCUGAUGCAAGGUUAAGCAGCAAAUGUGGAGCCGCAGCGAAAGCGAGUCUGAAUAGGGCGUUGAGUAUUUGGUCGUAGACCCGAAACCAGGUGAUCUACCCUUGGUCAGGUUGAAGUUCAGGUAACACUGAAUGGAGGACCGAACCGACUUACGUUGAAAAGUGAGCGGAUGAACUGAGGGUAGCGGAGAAAUUCCAAUCGAACUUGGAGAUAGCUGGUUCUCUCCGAAAUAGCUUUAGGGCUAGCCUCAAGUGAUGAUUAUUGGAGGUAGAGCACUGUUUGGACGAGGG
rnacentral:rRNA from 1 species